rnacentral:lncRNA from 1 species
GGAGUUUGAAAGAAUAAAGAGAUGGAGGGAACGCAUCAUAACCUGGUAUGACCUGGAUCAACAUAAACAAAGGUCACUGGAGCCCUAAUGAUCGCAGCCAUUUCAGGAAAUGCCAUCAAUUACAGUGAGGAGCUCAUUCAGAAGUGAAAGAUGAGUUCCAUUCUCUGUUACUUAGAGGUCAGUGAUCAUUCCCCAACCUCUUCAUAGUGAACAAAUAGUACAGUAAAUAGGACAAUAGAUUAUAUUGGAUGUAGAUGAAGUUUGGGCAGAAUCAGGGAUCAAUGGCUCCAUCUAAAUUGUUACACCAAAACACAGACAUACACCUGCUUUUAGAUUUGAAGAGUGAAUCCUCUCUGGAAAAUGUAGCAACUACUCAAAAAAGGUUGGAGGACCAACACUUCUAAGAAGCAGGAGGUGUUAUUUUCCACACUAACUUGAUUUUUGGACCAUCUCCCUGCUAAACACUUCACAUUUCAGUUCCUCUCUGAGCCUUUAGCGGAGAUUAAAGUAGCAGUUAAAGCUGGCUAUGCCCAACAGUCAAGGCAAAUUUUGUUUACAAGAUGCUUGAACACAAUUAUUUCUGGAAAGAGUAUUACACUCAGUAUUCUGCAUUUCAUAUGGCAUUUCAAAGUCCUGAGAAGGACUCUCCAUAGUCUUCUAUGUACUAAUUAAACAUGAACAUGUGGUAAACAACAUGGACUAUUCCAGUGGACAGAAAACGUCAAGUUAAAAUGUAUAAGUACCCCAUAUUUUUCUAAGUAUUCUUAUCCAGUUGGUCUGACUGGUCAUUAUCUGUUGUGUAAAACUUCCCAAACAACUCAUCAAUAUUUAAAUAGCAGCUUUCAACUGAUGGACUGUACAGAGAGAGGAGCACUUUUGGAAUAAUCCUCACAGCCUAAAGGCCAACGAUGACACAGAUGGUGAUGUUUUUAAGGAGGUGAUAGAAGAUAUUUGAUCCCUUUGGUUUGGAGUCUGCCAACUGAGAUAAAGGAGAAGAGCUGAGAAGCCUUGUAACAUUAGUAUUCUUUGUCUCUUUGUGGAUGACCCUUUCACAUUAAUAUCGACAUCAGAAACUGAAUUCAAGAAAGGGAGAGUCACACAUUCUUUCAAUAAUCCUUUGUCAGUGAACAUUUGAGCACCAUAGGAAGCCAAAUCAGACAUCACUUAAAAUAGUUUUUGGGUCAAGAUUACAAAAAAAAGGAAGACAGGAAAGAACAGUGGAAUCAGCAGGAAUGUGUCCCCUAAAGUCCCUUAAACUAAGUUGGAACACAACCCAGAAGACUUCCUUUGGCCUGGAGGCAAACUUAGGAGCUGCCUUUCAGUGUCAUCUCAGGAGCAUCCUUGAAAGAAUCAGGGAAGAAAGU